GGGAAACAUGAGGGAAAAAGCUGUUGGUGUAAACUGAUGAGGAUUCACAUCUGGAACGUUAUUCAACAGAGUUUCUCCUGCCUUCCCUUCCUGUCGUUACUACUUUGGAGCAGCUGGGUGAGAGCCCUUUCCCAUUUGCAAGUCCACGAUGCUGUAGCAGUUCUCCUCCCUAGCACUACAACCUUUUGAGAAGAGGAGGAAGAGUGGGGUCAGGGUGCUGUUCCUCAAGGUUCUGAAACACUGAACAUCGCAGGAGUCAAGCAGAUUUACUGGCAAUUUUGAUCAUGGAUAAAAGCGAACUUCAAAUACAUCCAAAGCAAACUUGUACAGAAGCCUUAAACAGAUCUGUUGAAGAGAUUCCAGCCCAGUACGUUUUGUUAACCACCACGUAACUGACUGUAUUUCAGCUCUGCACGUUUUGAUUUGUGACUGCUCAAAAAAGUCAAGAGCGCAUACAUCUGAAAUGCCUGGCUGAAGUAUUUUGUAAAAGUGAUUGAUCAAGAGCAGGUCAGAUGUUUUUUUUUUUUCUGUCCUGCUUGAACAUGUUCAAAAUCAGAGUAAUUCUCAGCAUCUGGUAAAAUUUAUUAAUGUUUUCUGUCUUGGUUUCUUAAGUCUAUGUAGAGAAACAUAAUAAUCUGUGACAUAUUUUAUGAAUCCAAGGACAUUUUAUUCAGUCACCUGUCUAGACACGCACAAAUAAGUUGCUAGAUAUUUCAGCACAUGCAUAAAAGACUGACAAAGCAGCAUACUGAAAAAGUCCUUUUAUUAGUAGCUGUCUGCUUGAAGAGCAUUGAUAAAGUAUGAAACUGAGAUGUUAAGUUAGGAAAGGGAAAACUCUCAUGCAAAGUAAGUAAUGCAGAGCCUUGCCCUUCAGUAGCUGAGGCAAGGUUUUGGAAUGAUGGUUGUGCUGAGAACGCUUGCAAUAAGAAAUAUCAUCAUAUUUUGGCUUUUCUUCAGCAGUUAACUGUGACAGUAAAAGACAGAAAUAUCAUCUUUAGAUUGUUUACCAAUUUCACUCUUUUAAUGAGCAUUCAGCCAGUUUACAAAGAGUUUUGCUGUUGUAGAUCACGCCUUUACAAGCUUCUUGUGUAUAGAAGGUCUCUCCAGUGUAGGGGUUUAGUGGUCUCAAGAAGAAACCAAUUAAAAGCAGCUGCUUUAAAAUGAACACUGUCACUUUAAAUCUGAAAGCUUUCAUAUGUCUUUGAUUCUGUGACCAUUAAUUGUUUUCCCUUGAAAUCUGUUAUAAUUUAUGGGAAAUCAUUAGUCUGUUGAAGAAUGACACGAAAACAUGAUUUUGUAAUUCUUCUGAGCACUGUUAAAAUGAUUUCCCACAAUUGUUAUUUCCUUUAGGACUACGAAGUGUCCUUAUUAUCAUUGUGUCCCAUAGCCAUAACGGCUGUAUAUAAUAACUCGGCUGCUUGGCUAUCAGUACCUUUUAUGGGAAUUUUAUGUUGUUGUUCAGCUGUAAGUCUCAUCUUUCACAUGGCUGAUACGUCUCAAUAAUGUUUUUGAUGUGCAUCUAUUUCUGUCUAUACGUAUUUAUAUACACACACCUGCUAGAAUGAUUUUUACUUUCAUUAUUACUGAUUAUAUGGUAAAAACUAAUUACUUUCACUGUUUCCUUAGGUUCAGACAUUCAGAAGUGGCUGAUAUUUGCUUUCUGUUUGGCAGGAGGUUCUGAGUCAAUUUAUGUUUCUCCCUCACAUCCCCCUACCUGCUUGCAUGAUAUCUGAGCAAACAAACUGUGUGAUUGGCGUAGAACAAAGAAGAGCUCACCCAGGCUCUCUCUCCCUAAGAGAAAUGAAUCUCCAAAUAUCAUUUAAUUGAAGUCUUGUUCUCCGUUGCCUUUUCUGAGAAAGCUGAGUGAUCCAUAUGAGAGGUACAAGUGGGGUUGGUGCUGUGAGGCCUGCAAGGUCCUGGUGUGAUGCUAAUGUUAUUUUUGGGCCAUCAUUAUUGAUAUUGGCUAGCAUUACUCAGAGCCCUUUAAUAAAAGGAAGAUAUGAUAAAGACAUCUUUACGAUAUGCCCAUAAGUGAUAAGCAUGAGGAAUAUGGAAAAAGAUUAAAGACAGAAUAUCUUGGCCUCAGAGAAAAGGGGCUUUGUCCUGUUAAAGAUAAAGUUGACUAGAUGUGUGCGUUUAGGCACGGCAGCCCUCAUUUUCUCAUCAGGCCCAUUGCUGAUAGGCUUUUAAAAUCUAAGCCUUACUUUUGACUAUUUUCUUUGAGGUCCCAUAACGCUUGUUACGCUGCUGUAUGACCAAGUUGUGCACUUAAGCCCAUGCCCUUUUUCCGCAAGUAAAUAAAACAAGCUGGCAU
rnacentral:lncRNA from 7 species